AUACGUAGGUGACAAGCGUUAUCCGGAUUUACUGGGCGUAAAGGGCGUGUAGGCGGUCUUGCAAGUCAGAAGUGAAAUUCCUGAGCUCAACUCGGGCGCUGCUUCUGAAACUGCAGGACUUGAGUGCUGGAGGGGAUAGCGGAAUUCCUAGUGGAGCGGUAAAAUGCGCAGGUAUUAGGAAGAACACCGGUGGCGAAGGCGGCUAUCUGGACAGUAACUGACGCUGAGGCGCGAAAGCGUGGGGAGCAAACAGGAUUAGAUCCCCUGGUAGUCCACGCCGUAAACGAUGAAUACUAGGUGUAGGGGGUAUCGACUCCCUCUGUGCCGCAGUUAACACAAUAAGUAUUCCGCCUGGGGAGUACGGCCGCAAGGUUGAAACUCAAAUGAAUUGGCGGGG
rnacentral:rRNA from 1 species